UGGGGUGUAGCUCAGUGGUAGAGCACUUGCCUGGUGUGAGGCCCUGGGUUCAAUCCCCAACAUGGCAA
rnacentral:tRNA from 1 species